rnacentral:rRNA from 1 species
GACGAAGGGGGCUAGCGUUGUUCGGAAUUACUGGGCGUAAAGCGCGUGUAGGCGGUUGUUCAAGUCAGGUGUGAAAGCCUUGAGCUCAACUCAAGAAAUGCACUUGAUACUGGAUGACUAGAGGACCGGAGAGGAUAGUGGAAUUCCCAGUGUAGUGGUGAAAUACGUAGAGAUUGGGAAGAACACCAGUGGCGAAGGCGGCUAUCUGGACGGUUUCUGACGCUAAGACGCGAAAGCGUGGGGAGCAACAGGA